CGUACACAAGUCAGCGUGUACCU
rnacentral:siRNA from 1 species